AGAGAACGCUGGCGGUAGGCCUAACACAUGCAAGUCGAACGGCAGCACAGUAAGAGCUUGCUCUUACGGGUGGCGAGUGGCGGACGGGUGAGGCAUACAUCGGAAUCUACUUUUUCGUGGGGGAUAACGUAGGGAAACUUACGCUAAUACCGCAUACGACCUACGGGUGAAAGCAGGGGUUCUUCGGACCUUGCGCGAUUGAAUGAGCCGAUGCCGGAUUAGCUAGUUGGCAGGGUAAAGGCCCACCAAGGCGACGAUCCGUAGCUGGUCUGAGAGGAUGAUCAGCCACACUGGAACUGAGACACGGUCCAGACUCCUACGGGAGGCAGCAGUGGGAAAUAUUCGACAAUGGGCGAAAGCCUGAUCCAGCAAUACCGCGUGGGUGAAGAAGGCCUUCGGGUUGUAAAACCCUUUUGUUGGGAAAGAAAAGCAGCAGAUUAAUACCCCGCUGUUCUGACGGUACCCAAAGAGUAAGCACCGGCUAACUUCGUG
rnacentral:rRNA from 1 species